rnacentral:rRNA from 1 species
GACGAACGCUGGCGGCGUGCUUAACACAUGCAAGUCGAACGGAAAGGCCCUGCUUUUGUGGGGUGCUCGAGUGGCGAACGGGUGAGUAACACGUGAGUAACCUGCCCUUGACUUUGGGAUAACUUCAGGAAACUGGGGCUAAUACCGGAUAGGAGCUCCUGCUGCAUGGUGGGGGUUGGAAAGUUUCGGCGGUUGGGGAUGGACUCGCGGCUUAUCAGCUUGUUGGUGGGGUAGUGGCUUACCAAGGCUUUGACGGGUAGCCGGCCUGAGAGGGUGACCGGCCACAUUGGGACUGAGAUACGGCCCAGACUCCUACGGGAGGCAGCAGUGGGGAAUAUUGCACAAUGGGCGGAAGCCUGAUGCAGCAACGCCGCGUGCGGGAUGACGGCCUUCGGGUUGUAAACCGCUUUCGCCUGUGACGAAGCGUGAGUGACGGUAAUGGGUAAAGAAGCACCGGCUAACUACGUGCCAGCAGCCGCGGUGAUACGUAGGGUGCGAGCGUUGUCCGGAUUUAUUGGGCGUAAAGGGCUCGUAGGUGGUUGAUCGCGUCGGAAGUGUAAUCUUGGGGCUUAACCCUGAGCGUGCUUUCGAUACGGGUUGACUUGAGGAAGGUAGGGGAGAAUGGAAUUCCUGGUGGAGCGGUGGAAUGCGCAGAUAUCAGGAGGAACACCAGUGGCGAAGGCGGUUCUCUGGGCCUUUCCUGACGCUGAGGAGCGAAAGCGUGGGGAGCGAACAGGCUUAGAUACCCUGGUAGUCCACGCUGUAAACGGUGGGUACUAGGUGUGGGGUCCAUUCCACGGGUUCCGUGCCGUAGCUAACGCUUUAAGUACCCCGCCUGGGGAGUACGGCCGCAAGGCUAAAACUCAAAGGAAUUGACGGGGCCCCGCACAAGCGGCGGAGCAUGCGGAUUAAUUCGAUGCAACGCGUAGAACCUUACCUGGGUUUGACAUGGAUCGGGAGUGCUCAGAGAUGGGUGUGCCUCUUUUGGGGUCGGUUCACAGGUGGUGCAUGGCUGUCGUCAGCUCGUGUCGUGAGAUGUUGGGUUAAGUCCCGCAACGAGCGCAACCCUUGUUCACUGUUGCCAGCACGUUAUGGUGGGGACUCAGUGGAGACCGCCGGGGUCAACUCGGAGGAAGGUGGGGAUGACGUCAAGUCAUCAUGCCCCUUAUGUCCAGGGCUUCACGCAUGCUACAAUGGCUGGUACAGAGAGUGGCGAGCCUGUGAGGGUGAGCGAAUCUCGGAAAGCCGGUCUCAGUUCGGAUUGGGGUCUGCAACCCGACCUCAUGAAGUCGGAGUCGCUAGUAAUCGCAGAUCAGCAACGCUGCGGUGAAUACGUUCCCGGGGCU